GCCCGGGUGGUGUAAUGGUAAACACGCUGGCUUGAGGUGCCAGUGGGGGAAACCCUGUGGAGGUUCAAGUCCUCUCCCGGGCA
rnacentral:tRNA from 1 species